rnacentral:rRNA from 1 species
UACGGAGGGGGCUAGCGCUGUUCGGAAUUACUGGGCGUAAAGCGCAUGUAGGCGGCUUUGUAAGUUAGAGGUGAAAGCCCAGGGCUUAACCCUGGAAUUGCCUUUAAGACUGCAUCGCUAGAAUCGUGGAGAGGUGAGUGGAAUUCCGAGUGUAGAGGUGAAAUUCGUAGAUAUUCGGAAGAACACCAGUGGCGAAGGCGACUCACUGGACACGUAUUGACGCUGAGGUGCGAAAGCGUGGGGAGCAAACAGG